rnacentral:rRNA from 1 species
AUGCGAUUAACUGGUGUGAAUUGCAGAAUCCCGUGAACCAUCGAGUCUUUGAACGCAAGUUGCGCCCGAAGCCAUUAGGCUGAGGGCACGUCUGCCUGGGUGUCA